CAGUCGCCGCGGUAAUACGUAGGGUGCGAGCGUUAAUCGGAAUUACUGGGCGCAAAGCGUGCGCAGGCGGUUUUGUAAGACAGGCGUGAAAUCCCCGGGCUCAACCUGGGAAUGGCGCUUGUGACUGCAAAGCUAGAGUGCGGCAGAGGGGGAUGGAAUUCCGCGUGUAGCAGUGAAAUGCGUAGAUAUGCGGAGGAACACCGAUGGCGAAGGCAAUCCCCUGGGCCUGCACUGACGCUCAUGCACGAAAGCGUGGGGAGCAAAUAGGAUUAGAUACCCCCGUAGUCCCUGUCUCUUAUAA
rnacentral:rRNA from 1 species